UUCACGUCGAGCGAAUGGAUUGGAGCUUUGCUCCUUGUAUGUUUUCGCGCGCGGAGGGUGAAUAACACUGUGGGUACCCUGCCCAUAACACUGGAUAUAUCUCCGGGAAACCGGGGCUAAUACCGGAUAACAUUUUGAACCGCAUGGUUCAAAAUUGAAAGGCGGCUUCCGCUGUCACUUAUGGAUGGCCCCGCCUCACUAUAUCUUUUUGGAGGUGUAACGGCUCACCAGGGCAACUAUGCAUACCCCACCUGAGAGGGUGAUCGGCCACUGUGGGAGUGACACGCGGCCCACACUCCUAGGGGGGGCAGCAGUGGGGAAUCUUCCGCAGUGGAAAAAUCUCAGACAGAACCACCCCGCGUGAGUGAAGAGUGUUUUCAGGUCAUAAAUCUCUUUUGUUAGGAAAAAACAUGUGCUUCUUGAAUAAGCUGGCCCCUUGACGGUACCUAACCAAAACCCCACGGCUAACUACGUGCCAACCCCCGCGGUAAUACAUAUGUGGCAAGCUUUAUCCAAAAUUAUUGGGCGUAAGGCGCGCGCGGGUGUUUUCUUAUCUCAGAUGUGAAACCCCACGGCUCACCCGGGGAGGGUCUUUGAAAACUGGAACACUUGAGUGCAGAAGAGGAGAGUGAAUCUCCAUGUGUAGCUGAGAUGUGCAUAGAGAUGUGGAAGAACACCUGUGGCGAGCGACUCUUUCUGGUCUGUAACUGACUCUGAAGCGCAAAAGCGUGGAGAGCAAACAAGAUUAUAUACUGUGAUACUCCACCCCAUACACUAUGAGUGCUAAGUGUAGAGGGUUUCCGCCCUUUUAGUGCUGACGUUAACGCAAUAAACACUCCGCCGUGGAGUAGUAGUGCCGCAGACGCAGAAACUCAAGAAGAAUUAGACGGGGGCCCCGCCACAGGCAGUGAACCAUGUGUUAUAUUCAAAAGCCACGCAAAACACCCUUUCACCGAGGGCUCG
rnacentral:rRNA from 1 species